ACCUUAUCUCAUUAUUGGGUUGAAAGAUUCUAUUAAGGCUUCUCUAAAUUCGCAAAGUGAAAGGUAUAUGAGUUUGUAAAAUUACAACAACAAUACGGAUGAAGAUUAUGACAAAGUGGGAUGUAUUAGUUCAUUUUGGGGGAAUGUUGAACAAGGUCUCUAUUACUAAGUUACUAUAGCAUUGUUUGCUAAAGGAGCAGCAACGUAAUGUACAAUGGCAAGAUGAACGACAUGUCAGGGCAGAAAAGUUUUGCUAUUUAAGUAAUUUCGUAGAAAUGUACAGUGGAAGGAAGUUUAAAAGAGGGAAACAAAAGUACACUCCAUCAUCAACGACCUUCUACAAGCUUGCCACUAAUCCAUUGUUGUUGCGUUAUUGUCGUCUCUCGUAGAUUAAAGUGUGUUGGAAGGGCUGUCGUUGUGGUUACUAAAGAAAGCCAACAACGGUCCCGAUAGACAGGUUGAGAGUCCUCCAAGUAAGCUAUCAG